rnacentral:rRNA from 1 species
GUCCACGCCCUAAACGAUGCAUAUUUGGUGUGGGCAGUUCAUUCUGUCUGUGCCGGAGCUAACGCGUUAAAUAUGCCGCCUGGGGAGUACAGUCGCAAGGCUGAAACUCAAAGGAAUUGACGGGGGCCCGCACAAGCGGUGGAGCAUGUGGUUCAAUUCGACGCAACGCGAAGAACCUUACCUGGGCUCGAACGGCUGGUCAACGGCGGUGGAAACAUCGCUACCCCGCAAGGGGGUCCAGUCGAGGUGCUGCAUGGCUGUCGU